rnacentral:rRNA from 1 species
GAUGAACGCUGGCGGCGUGCCUAAUACAUGCAAGUCGAGCGAACAGACGAGGAGCUUGCUCCUCUGACGUUAGCGGCGGACGGGUGAGUAACACGUGGAUAACCUACCUAUAAGACUGGGAUAACUUCGGGAAACCGGAGCUAAUACCGGAUAACAUGUUGAACCGCAUGGUUCAACAGUGAAAGACGGUCUUUCUGUCACUUAUAGAUGGAUCCGCGCCGCAUUAGCUAGUUGGUAAGGUAACGGCUUACCAAGGCAACGAUGCGUAGCCGACCUGAGAGGGUGAUCGGCCACACUGGAACUGAGACACGGUCCAGACUACUACGGGAGGCAGCAGUAGGGAAUCUUACGCAAUGGGCGAAAGCCUGACGGAGCAACGCCGCGUGAGUGAAGAAGGUCUUCGGAUCGUAAAACUCUGUUAUUAGGGAAGAACAAAUGUGUAAGUAACUAUGCACGUCUUGACGGUACCUAAUCAGAAAGCCACGGCUAACUACGUG